rnacentral:lncRNA from 1 species
UUAAAAACAUUUGAUGACCAAAUACAUAACAGAACUAAAAUAUAAUAUGGCGUUCAAACUCACUGAGAGUCUUUUAUUUCAAAUUUGCAUACCAUAUCUUAGCAACAACUUGUGAAUUACUCAUGGAGCUCCGUUUUUUGCCUUGAAAUUACAGAUCUAAUCCAACUAGAAACACAGAAUAUGCAAGUUCUUAUCAAUUUGAGUUUCAUGUUCAAGCCAAUACGUUAUAGCAAAUUCAAUUGGCUAACAACAAUAUUCCUAAUGACAACAUGAAUCGAGUAAUUCACAUAAAAAUUGCAUUUCAAGUUAUUUCACUAUUUCAUCCAAAUGGAAGAGAAAUACGCAUUGUACACACCAGAACAACAGAAAUUGUACUUGGACAAAUCCAAAAAAAAAUUGAAUAAAUGUGAACACAGCAGUUUUAAUCAUUCAAUGAGAUCAUAAUACGAGAAAUAUUAGGGAACUGGGCUAAUUGAAAAUGAAACACUGAAAUGAGCCCAAAUAUGGUAGAAAUCAACCCAGGUGUAGCUCAGCAACAAUUUCGGAACAACAGCAGGGAUAGUAAAUAAUCCUCAGCAGCUUUUGUAAACCCAGGAGAAUGGAUAUGAAAUAUAAAAACUCAUCUCUGCUCCUUUGUAUUUUUUCCGAGCUCCAAAACUCUGUGAUCUCAGUUUGAAUUCUUAAAAUCCAAAUCUUUCUCGUAUGAGUGUGAGAGCGAGGGAGGAGAGAGGGAAACCGAUGAGAGAGAACGAGUUUUGUGAAUGUAUCUGUGAAUUGUGUGUGUGUGAAGAUGGGUUAGUACAGAUGAGAAAGUGAAAGGAUUACGGGCGCCUAGGGUUUUUGUUCAAAGGGUGGAAAUUCGGAUUUCUAGAGAUGGCAAGAGGGAG